rnacentral:lncRNA from 1 species
AUAAUGAAGGUUGGUCAGAAGGAAACCCAUUGCAUACAAUACAAUCCUAAAAAAAGAGUGGUGGGCAUACAUGAGCCUUUUAACAAGAACUGUUCGAGAUCGACUCAUCGCUACUGGUUAUCGUGCGAUAAGACCAUUUCGGAGACCUUUGCUUACGAACAGACACACAGUUUUCCGUAUCCAAUGUAGUGCAGAGCUCGCUAAAGUUGAAAAUUA